rnacentral:rRNA from 1 species
AGAGUUUGAUCAUGGCUCAGGAUGAACGCUAGCUACAGGCUUAACACAUGCAAGUCGAGGGGUAGCAGGGUAGCAAUACCGCUGACGACCGGCGCACGGGUGAGUAACACGUAUCCAACCUUCCCAUAACUCAGGGAUAGCCUUUCGAAAGAAAGAUUAAUACCUGAUAGUACUUUUUCAAGGCAUCUUGAAAAAAGUUAAAGAUUUAUUGGUUAUGGAUGGGGAUGCGUUCCAUUAGAUAGUUGGUGAGGUAACGGCUCACCAAGUCUUCGAUGGAUAGGGGUUCUGAGAGGAAGGUCCCCCACAUUGGUACUGAGACACGGACCAAACUCCUACGGGAGGCAGCAGUGAGGAAUAUUGGUCAAUGGGCGAGAGCCUGAACCAGCCAAGUAGCGUGAAAAGGAUGAAGGUCCUAUGGAUUGUAAACUUCUUUUAUAGUAGAAUAAAGUGAGCCACGUGUGGUUUUUUGUAUGUAUACUAUGAAUAAGGAUCGGCUAACUCCGUGCCAGCCGCCGC